rnacentral:lncRNA from 1 species
UGGUGAUGGGAUGGUAAAAAGGAGAAGCCAGAGAAAACACAGUGAGCUGGGGUGACCAGAGUUCAUUCACAGUGCUUCUCUUACCACACAAUUUCAAUUUCUGUUGUAUACUCUCUAAUGGUGGGACAGUAUUGUUGCAUUAGGAGGUGAGAACUGCAGAGGUAACUUCCUUAUAACAAUGCUUUCUGAAGCCAUUGUUCCCAUUAAUCUUCUUAGUAAAAAUAGCUCAUGUUGGUUAAGUUGUUUCAACUUCACUAAAGCUUGAAGAAGAUGCAAAUAAAUUUAUAAAAACAAGGGUGAAUGGAGAAAAAUACUGUGGUCAUAGCACUGAGAAGCAACCAACUGAAGAAGAAGUGGAGACUUUCCAGCGAAGUUUAUAAAGACCAUUAAGUUUGGAUUUGCCAUAGGCAGUCCUACAACAAAGGAAGCCUUAGUCAUAUCCAUCACAUUAGGACCAAGGAAGUCUAGAGACUGUUCUAUCAUUCCAGAACUGUGUUCAGAAGCAGCAGCUUUUAAUGAACCAGAGGAAAUGUCUUUAGAAGCAAAGCUGAAGAUGAUGAACGUUGGAUGGGACAAACCAACAGCCGCAAGACCAAACCCUUUCAAUAAAGAACACAAGGGGUUUUUGAUCAUCAGAAACUACGGGAGGGAAAUAUAAAUUCUCACCUUGGAAAUGUUUAUGACCAAGAUA